GGGGAUGAAAGGUCUCGACAGGGGAGGCUGUCGGCGAAACGCAGGCCGGAGCGCUCGUCUCCGUCAAAACGGGCAAGCCAAUUAACUGGCACUCAGAAUCAGAAUCAGGCUCUGGCUCUCGCCGCGUAAGCGGUAGGACCGGAGCUGUAGCCGCCACACAGCGCGGCUAGGUCCCGAGGUAGGCCAUUCCGGAGCGGGCCACGGGGCGAAAACACAAACCGGAAUGCCUGUCCCCCCACGUCGAUAAGGGGGCAGAAAGAUAAUCGACUGGCGCUCUGUCACCCCGUCGAUCGGGUCGGCAGGGGGCGAGACAACAAAGGUCGACUAAGCCUGUAGCUGGUUCUCCGAUGAAUCUUCUGGACGCGGGUUCGAAUCCCGCCAUCUCCACCU
rnacentral:tmRNA from 1 species